AGCGAACGCUGGCGGCAGGCCUAACACAUGCAAGUCGAACGAACUCUUCGGAGUUAGUGGCGGACGGGUGAGUAACACGUGGGAACGUGCCUUUUGGUUCGGAAUAACUCAGGGAAACUUGUGCUAAUACAGCAUGUGCCCUUCGGGGGAAAGAUUUAUCGCCCUUAGAGCGGCCCGCGUCUGAUUAGCUAGUUGGUGAGGUAACGGCUCACCAAGGCGACGAUCAGUAGCUGGUCUGAGAGGAUGACCAGCCACACUGGGACUGAGACACGGCCCAGACUCCUACGGGAGGCAGCAGUGGGGAAUCUUGCGCAAUGGGCGAAAGCCUGACGCAGCCAUGCCGCGUGAAUGAUGAAGGUCUUAGGAUUGUAAAAUUCUUUCACCGGGGACGAUAAUGACGGUACCCGGAGAAGAAGCCCCGGCUAACUUCGUG
rnacentral:rRNA from 1 species